rnacentral:rRNA from 1 species
ACUCCUACGGGAGGCAGCAGUAGGGAAUCUUCCACAAUGGGCGCAAGCCUGAUGGAGCAACACCGCGUGAGUGAAGAAGGGUUUCGGCUCGUAAAGCUCUGUUGUUAAAGAAGAACACGUAUGAGAGUAACUGUUCAUACGUUGACGGUAUUUAACCAGAAAGUCACGGCUAACUACGUGCCAGCAGCCGCGGUAAUACGUAGGUGGCAAGCGUUAUCCGGAUUUAUUGGGCGUAAAGAGAGUGCAGGCGGUUUUCUAAGUCUGAUGUGAAAGCCUUCGGCUUAACCGGAGAAGUGCAUCGGAAACUGGAUAACUUGAGUGCAGAAGAGGGUAGUGGAGCUCCAUGUGUAGCGGUGGAAUGCGUAGAUAUAUGGAAGAACACCAGUGGCGAAGGCGGCUACCUGGUCUGCAACUGACGCUGAGACUCGAAAGCAUGGGUAGCGAACAGGAUUAGAUACCCU